rnacentral:rRNA from 1 species
CGCAUGCCACGCUUUUGAAAGAUGGUUUCGGCUAUCGCUUACAGAUGGGCCCGCGGUGCAUUAGCUAGUUGGUAGGGUAAUGGCCUACCAAGGCAACGAUGCAUAGCCGACCUGAGAGGGUGAUCGGCCACACUGGGACUGAGACACGGCCCAGACUCCUACGGGAGGCAGCAGUAGGGAAUCUUCCGCAAUGGACGAAAGUCUGACGGAGCAACGCCGCGUGUAUGAAGAAGGUUUUCGGAUCGUAAAGUACUGUUGUUAGAGAAGAACAAGGAUAAGAGUAACUGCUUGUCCCUUGACGGUAUCUAACCAGAAAGCCACGGCUAACUACGUGCCAGCAGCCGCGGUAAUACGUAGGUGGCAAGCGUUGUCCGGAUUUAUUGGGCGUAAAGCGCGCGCAGGCGGUCUUUUAAGUCUGAUGUGAAAGCCCCCGGCUUAACCGGGGAGGGUCAUUGGAAACUGGAAGACUGGAGUGCAGAAGAGGAGAGUGGAAUUCCACGUGUAGCGGUGAAAUGCGUAGAUAUGUGGAGGAACACCAGUGGCGAAGGCGACUCUCUGGUCUGUAACUGACGCUGAGGCGCGAAAGCGUGGGGAGCAAACAGGAUU